rnacentral:rRNA from 1 species
UUAAAGGAAUUGACGGGGCCCGCACAAGCGGUGGAGCAUGUGGUUUAAUUCGACGCAACGCGAAGAACCUUACCAGGGCUUGACAUCCCCUGACCGCGUAUGAAAGUACGUUUUCACCCUCGGGUGACAGGGAGACAGGUGGUGCAUGGUUGUCGUCAGCUCGUGUCGUGAGAUGUUGGGUUAAGUCCCGCAACGAGCGCAACCCCUACGUUUAGUUGCUAACGCGUGAAGGCGAGCACUCUAGCGAAGACUCGUCCGGUAAUAAACCGGAGGAAGGUGGGGAUGACGUCAAAUCAUCAUGCCCCUUAUGACCUGGGCUACACACGUGCUACAAUGGUUGGUACAACGAGUUGCGAGUCGGUGACGGCGAGCUAAUCUCUUAAAGCCAAUCUCAGUUCGGAUUGUAGGCUGCAACUCGCCUACAUGAAGUCGGAAUCGCUAGUAAUCGCGGAUCAGCACGCCGCGGUGAAUACGUUCCCGGGCCUU